GACAGAGGGUGCAAACGUUGUUCGGAAUUACUGGGCGUAAAGCGUGUGUAGGCGGUCCACUAAGUCGGGUGUGAAGGCCCUGGGCUCAACCCAGGAAGUGCACUCGAAACUGGCGGGCUAGAGUAUCGGAGAGGUUGGUGGAAUUCUCGGUGUAGAGGUGAAAUUCGUAGAUAUCGAGAGGAACACCGGUGGCGAAAGGCGGCCAACUGGGACGAAUACUGACGCUGAG
rnacentral:rRNA from 1 species